rnacentral:rRNA from 1 species
GCGUCCUGGGAGCAGUCUGACGGAGCACGCCGCGUGAGUGAUGAAGGUCUUCGGAUCGUAAAACUCUGUUGUUAGGGAAGAACAAGUAUCGUUCGAAUAGGGCGGUACCUUGACGGUACCUAACCAGAAAGCCACGGCUAACUACGUGCCAGCAGCCGCGGUAAUAA